UCGAGCUGGGACAGUGGGAUGGGAUAUGAUUGCCUUCUCGUAUUGCCGUGGCUUGAGACAUGGACUCUCGGAAGAAAAGAGGAAGAGAGACCGAGCAAAAUGAUCCGAGAGGUUCCGAGGUGUUGGAAAGGCACGAUGAAAGACAUAUGAGGAUUCCAGCGGCGAGAUAGGAUAUGCCUGCCGACUAUGUUACAGCGAAAAUCUUUUGAGGUUCACCUUAUGCGUACUACUCCUCUUUUACUGUAGUUUUUUCGCAGAAUUGACAAGUAUCGAAUAGUGCCGAGAGAAUUCUGUAAAAACAUUGACUCGUUCAUUUAUUUGAAUAGCAUUAGUGUAAUUGAUCAUGAUUUUAUGUUAUAUUAAUUGUUAUACAAAAUUUUAUAAAUAGAAUACACAUAUAUAUAUAUAUAGAUGAAGACACAUCUCAGCUAUAAAAUAACGAAAGCUCACGAAGUUUAACAUAAAGCUUAAACGAAAGAUUGAGAUUCUUCGAAAGUUUGUGGAGCACGUGGUUCUGUCAACUUCGAACGUAAGAAAGACGUCCCUCUAUUUACGACAUAAGUGGCUGGUUGAAAGUAAAGCGCAGUUCUUGUUGAAGGUUUAAAAACCGUUUGGUUAUAUCAAACUGCAUGGAAACUAUAAAAGCCCUGGCAGUCGUUGCACGUAUACGCAGUAUUCCCUCUGGUAGCUAGCGAUGACGGAUUCAUAGCCCGUGGGAUAACGCAAGACCUCACCCCAAGAUGUUUCGGUUUACGGAUGCACGCUCUUCCUUGCUUUUUCUUCCUAUUUCUCGCCUUUUUUUCUUCUAUCUACUGAGCGAUUCAUUUGUCGGUCUUUGAUCCGAGACCAACAAGCUACUACCGGAAAAUUAGCGAAAUUUAUUAAGCAGUCGCUUUCUCUAGACUGCUAUCUGUCAUUUUAUUCUCCUUAUUUCUAGCGCAACCUGUCGUUUCAUCUUAUACGGGAUAUCAUUCAGUGGAUAGAAUCUUUGUUCAAAGAUACCGUAUUUGGAUAGUCGAAGGAUAAGUGACAAAUUCCAGACAAAUACCUCGUUGGGAGUCCUUUCUUUCUUUUUUUAAGAUAGGACGCAAAAUUUAUAUAGAUCCAUGAAUAUUACAAAGUUAAAACAUAUUCAUAGCUAUAUUUAUUAACCGAUGAAUUAUCAUUAUAACGUCGCCGGUGUCCCGCUUAUCGAGAAAGGCGUCCUUUCAAGUUUCUGAAAGGUAGAUCUUCGAGAACAGCUGGUUCUCGCGAACAGCGGUGCCACCAGCAGCGCAAUGUCAACUAACCCCGUUAAGGGUUAGGGGUUAACUUCCACAGGGCUAGUACCUACGAGGAAGAUGAAAGAAUGAGCGAAGAUAGGCCGACGGCCGCCCCUUUUUAUUACCGGCGCCGUCACGCGUCACCGAUAAGCGCGGUCUCUCUGUAGACGAAAAGUCUAUGCUUGCACCGGUUCUCUCGAAACAUGAGAUUUCAUCUUCUCUUCUUUACUUCUGCUUUUGCCAUCUCUAGUUGAAAGUUUCAUUUUUUAUGAACAUAUGUCGAGAAUCUUGGAACGCUAUCUGCUUCUUUUCGACAAGGAGUAAUAGAAACGUGUUAAGAAUGUAACGACUGGCUGAUCAUCUGUUUCUUUAUGUUUUACUCUGGCUAGAAAGGAGCAUCGGGUUAAAAAUCAAAGAAGGAAGAAACUGCAAAGGUUUCUGAUCUUAUUUUUAUUCAUUGCGGAAACAUGUGCGGGUCAUGAAUGACUGCAAAACGUUUUGUGAAUGCACGAGGGAGGAUGUUCACCGAAAGUCAUUAAGGA